ACGCUGGCGGCGUGCUUAACACAUGCAAGUCGAACGAUGAAACCUAGCUUGCUAGGUGGAUUAGUGGCGCACGGGUGAGUAAUAUAUAGGUAAUGUGCCUCUUAGUCUGGGAUAGCCAUUGGAAACGAUGAUUAAUACUGGAUACUCCUUCUAACUCUAAUGUUAGUCGGGAAAGUUUUUCGCUAAGAGAUCAGCCUAUAUCCCAUCAGUUAGUUGGUAAGGUAACGGCUUACCAAGGCAAUGACGGGUAGCGGGUUUGAGAGGAUGAUCCGCCACACUGGUACUGAGACACGGACCAGACUCCUACGGGAGGCAGCAGUGAGGAAUAUUGCACAAUGGGGGAAACCCUGAUGCAGCAACGCCGCGUGGAGGAUGACGCAUUUCGGUGUGUAAACUCCUUUUAUAUGUCAAGAAAAUGACGGUAGCAUAUGAAUAAGCACCGGCUAACUCCGUGCCAGCAGCCGCGGUAAUACGGAGGGUGCAAGCGUUACUCGGAAUCACUGGGCGUAAAGGACGCGUAGGCGGAUUGGAAAGUCAGAUGUGAAAUCCUACAGCUUAACUGUAGAACUGCAUUUGAAACUUCUAAUCUAGAGUAUGGGAGGGGGAGAUGGAAUUAGUGGUGUAGGGGUAAAAUCCGUAGAUAUCACUAGGAAUACCGAAAGCGAAGGCGAUCUCCUGGAACAUUACUGACGCUAAGGCGUGAAAGCGUGGGGAGCAAACAGGAUUAGAUACCCUGGUAGUCCACGCCCUAAACGAUGAACACUAGUCGUCGGGAUGCUUGUCAUCUCGGUGAUGCACUUAACAGAUUAAGUGUUCCGCCUGGGGAGUAC
rnacentral:rRNA from 1 species